GACGAACCGUACGAACGUUAUUCGGAAUUACUGGGCGUAAAGGGUGCGUAGGCGGUCGUUUAAGUUUGGUGUGAAAUCUCCCGGCUCAACUGGGAGGGUGCGCCGAAUACUGAAUGACUAGAGUGCGGGAGAGGAUAGUGGAAUUCCUGGUGUAGCGGUGAAAUGCGUAGAUAUCAGGAGGAACACCGGUGGUGUAGACGGCUAUCUGGACCGUAACUGACGCUGAGGCACGAAAGCGUGGGUAGCAAACAGG
rnacentral:rRNA from 1 species